GAGCAGCGGGUUCGUCCGUCCUGGUUCUUCUAACCCUAAAUACGUGCCGGUGGUGGCGGCUCCUCCUGGGUGGUGCUCACUGUUUUGGUGGCUGACUUUCAGCGGGCAGGAGGAACCGGAGCUGAGCCGGAGAGAUGCGCAAAAACGUCAGCUGAGGCCGGGCGGCCCCGCUCGUGGCCCGUCCGCCCCGUCCGGGCUCGGCCCCGGCCCGAAUCCCCUGGGGGCGUCCUCCGCCAGGCCUGCGCUAGCCCUCGGAGCCCCAUCUGCCCGCGAGCAGAGGCGGCGGCCGUCUCGGGGCCCCUGCGUGCGGGGGCAUCCACUGCGGUCGCCAAGAGUUGGGCUCUGUCAGCCUUUGGGUGCUCGGGGUGCCGGGGGCUCUUACGUAGGCCGGGCGUGGGGCGGGGGCGCAGGGAGAGUAAACGUGAGCGGCGUCCAGCCAAUGAGGCGCUCCCUCGAGCUGUGGGAGCUGCCCCGGGCUCGGCUCAGACACCC
rnacentral:telomerase_RNA from 1 species